CUACGGGACGCACCAGUCGAGAAUCUUCCGCAAUGGACGAAACUCUGAUGCAGCAACGCCGCGUGGAGGAUGACACUUUUCGGAGCGUAAACUCCUUUUAUAUAGGAAGAAGAUGACGGUACUAUAUGAAUAAGCGCCGGCUAACUCCGUGCCAGCAGCCGCGGUAAUACGGAGGGCGCAAGCGUUACUCGGAAUCACUGGGCGUAAAGAGCGUGUAGGCGGAUUAAAAAGUCAGAAGUGAAAUCCUAUAGCUUAACUAUAGAACUGCUUCUGAAACUCUUAAUCUAGAAUAUGGGAGAGGUAGAUGGAAUUUCUGGUGUAGGGGUAAAAUCCGUAGAGAUCAGAAGGAAUACCGAUUGCGAAGGCGAUCUACUAGAACAUUAUUGACGCUGAGACGCGAAAGCGUGGGGAGCAAACAGGAUUAGAUACCCCCGUAGUC
rnacentral:rRNA from 1 species